AAGGGGCACUGGCACUUGGGCUCCUCAUCCAUGUCUCCAACCCCUGAAUCGUGGAAGUGACCAGAUGUGUCCAUGGUCUGGAUGGGGUGCCACAGUGACGGCGUGGAGAGGACCUGCCCCAUCCCCAGCAGCAGAGGACCUGGUCACUAGGAGGAUGUGCCGGCUCAUGACGGCGUGGAGAAGAGCUGCCCCAUCCCCAGCAGCAGAGGACCUGGUCACUAGGAGGAUGUGCCGGCUCAUGACGGCGUGGAGAGGACCUGCCCCAUCCCCAGCAACAGAGGACCUGGUCACUAGGGGGAUGUGCUGGCUCAUGACGGCAUAAGAGCAGAGAAUACAGAUUUCCUUCUGGGCAGCGCCUUCUAAGCCGAGAGACUCGGAAAUGGCAGCGUCUGUGGCCGGAGGCCCAAACCACGCAACCAAGAUGGCCGCCUAAUGGAACUGAACAUGUGCAGCUAAUGUUGUGCAAAAUGUGUUUAAAUAUGUUACUCUUUGAUGACAGACCGCUCAGGUUAGAGGGAACAUAGAUUCAGUGACAUCACUAACGUAAAUGACUUGCUCAUGGACCAGGCGGUGACAUCACUGCGGACUUGAAUUGCCAUCUCUUAAAGCUGACAUUUGCAUGCCUCCAACAUUAGACUGUCAGUCCUGUUUGGAGGGGGCUGUCCCUGGGAUGAGGACUGUUUCGUAUUGAGACUGUGUGUAAUGAAAACCCGCAAGUGACUGUUAUAAUUACCUUGAUUAAAAGCUCUUCAAAAUA